UGGGGAAUUUUGGACAAUGGGCGAAAGCCUGAUCCAGCAAUGCCGCGUGUGCGAAGAAGGCCUUCGGGUUGUAAAGCACUUUUGUCCGGAAAGAAAUCCUUGGCUCUAAUACAGUCGGGGGAUGACGGUACCGGAAGAAUAAGCACCGGCUAACUACGUGCCAGCAGCCGCGGUAAUACGUAGGGUGCAAGCGUUAAUCGGAAUUACUGGGCGUAAAGCGUGCGCAGGCGGUUUGCUAAGACCGAUGUGAAAUCCCCGGGCUCAACCUGGGAACUGCAUUGGUGACUGGCAGGCUAGAGUAUGGCAGAGGGGGGUAGAAUUCCACGUGUAGCAGUGAAAUGCGUAGAGAUGUGGAGGAAUACCGAUGGCGAAGGCAGCCCCCUGGGCCAAUACUGACGCUCAUGCACGAAAGCGUGGGGAGCAAACAGGAUUAGAUACCCUGGUAGUCCACGCCCUAAACGAUGUCAACUAGUUGUUGGGGAUUCAUUUCCUUAGUAACGUAGCUAACGCGUGAAGUUGACCGCCUGGGGAGUACGGUCGCAAGAUUAAAACUUAAAUGAAUUGACGGGGUCAUAGCUGUUUCCU
rnacentral:rRNA from 1 species